rnacentral:rRNA from 1 species
UACGUAGGGUGCGAGCGUUAAUCGGAAUUACUGGGCGUAAAGCGUGCGCAGGCGGUUUUGUAAGCCGGAUGUGAAAUCCCCGGGCUUAACCUGGGAAUGGCAUUCGGGACUGCAAGGCUGGAGUGCGGCAGAGGAGACUGGAAUUCCUGGUGUAGCAGUGAAAUGCGUAGAUAUCAGGAGGAACACCGAUGGCGAAGGCGGCCUUCUGGACAGUAUCUGACGCUGAGACGCGAAAGCGUGGGGAGCAAACAGG